UACGUAGGCAGCAAGCGUUGUUCGGAGUUACUGGGCGUAAAGGGCGCGCAGGCGGCCGGCCAAGUCAGGCGUGAAAGCCCCGGGCUUAACCUGGGAAUUGCGUCUGGGACUGGUUGGCUAGAGAUCGGGAGAGGAGAGUGGAAUUCCCAGUGUAGAGGUGAAAUUCGUAGAUAUUGGGAAGAACACCGGUGGCGAAGGCGGCGCUCUGGACCGAGACUGACGCUGAGGCGCGAAAGCGUGGGGAGCAAACAGG
rnacentral:rRNA from 1 species